rnacentral:ribozyme from 1 species
CCCUUGCCUACCCCUGAGCGGACGGACACCAUGGGAAACGGCGCGAGCAAGGAGGAGUCCAGGGCUACGCUAGGCGGUUGUGUGGCGGCAUGUC